rnacentral:rRNA from 1 species
UUGAACGCUGGCGGCAGGCCUAACACAUGCAAGUCGAGCGGAUGAAGGGAGCUUGCUCCUGGAUUCAGCGGCGGACGGGUGAGUAAUGCCUAGGAAUCUGCCUGGUAGUGGGGGAUAACGUCCGGAAGCGGGCGCUAAUACCGCAUACGUCCUGAGGGAGCAAGUGGGGGAUCUUCGGACCUCACGCUAUCAGAUGUGCCUAGGUCGGAUUAGCUAGUUGGUGGGGUAAAGGCCUACCAAGGCGACGAUCCGUAACUG